rnacentral:rRNA from 1 species
AGGAAGGGUCGUCCGCUCAGGGUAAGUCGGGACCUAAGGAGAGGCGUAAAGCGUAUCCGAUGGACAAUCGGUUGAUAUUCCGAUACCGCCGAAUAUCGAUUGAAGGAAGCAGUGACACAGGAGGAUAGGAUGAGCACGGAGUUGGUAUACCGUGUCCAAGCAUCAAGGCUGGUUAGUAGGAAAGACCGCUAACCUUAAGGCUGAGGUGUGAUGGGGAGCGAAAUUAGAGUAGCGAAGAAUCUGAAUUCACACUGUCAAGAAAAGCUGCUAACGAGAUAUCAGGUGCCCGUACCGCAAACCGACACAGGUAGAUGAGGAGAGAAUCCUAAGAUGAGCGAGAGAAGCGUUGUUAAGGAACUCGGCAAAAUAACCCCGUAACUUCGGGAGAAGGGGUGCCACUGAAAGGUGGCCGCAGAGAAAUGGCCCAAGCGACUGUUUAGCAAAAACACAGGUCUCUGCUAAAUCGAAAGAUGAAGUAUAGGGGCUGACGCCUGCCCGGUGCUGGAAGGUUAAGGGGAAAGGUAAGCGCAAGCGAAGCUUUGAACUUAAGCCCCAGUAAACGGCGGCCGUAACUAUAACGGUCCUAAGGUAGCGAAAUUCCUUGUCAGGUAAGUUCUGACCCGCACGAAUGGCGUAACGACUUGGGCACUGUCUCGACAACGCGCUCGGCGAAAUUGUAGCACUAGUGAAGAUGCUAGUUACCCGCGAUUGGACGGAAAGACCCCGUAGAGCUUCACUGCAGCUUGACAUUGGGUUUUGGUAUUUCAUGUACAGGAUAGGUGGGAGACAGAGAAGCAGUAACGCCAGUUACUGUGGAGUCGACGUUGGGAUACCACUCUUGAGAUACCGGAAUUCUAACCAGUGGCCAUGGAACUGGUCAUGGGACAUAGUCAGGUGGGCAGUUUGACUGGGGCGGUCGCCUCCCAAAGAGUAACGGAGGCGUCCAAAGGUUCCCUCAGAAUGGUUGGAAAUCAUUCGUAGAGUGCAAAGGCAGAAGGGAGCCUGACUGCGAGAGAGACAA